GCGAAGAACCUNCCUAAACUUGACAUACCNAAUGNCAGCCUUUUAAUCGAGGACUCUUACCCUCGGGUAGACAAUGGAUACAGGUGGUGCAUGGUUGUCGUCAGCUCGUGUCGUGAGAUGUUGGGUUAAGUCCCGCAACGAGCGCAACCCUUGUCGAUAGUUACCAGCAGUAAGAUGGGGACUCUAUCGAGACAGCUAAGGACAACUUAGAGGAAGGUGGGGAUGACGUCAAAUCAUCAUGCCCCUUAUGUUUAGGGCUAACNACAACCUGCUACCAAUGNUCAUUACAGAGAGAAGCGAAACUGCGAAGUCAAGCAACCUCAAAAAGAUGAUCCAGUUCGGAUUGUAGGCUGAAACUCGCCUACAUGAAGUUGGAGUNGCUAGU
rnacentral:rRNA from 1 species